UACAGAGGGUGCAAGCGUUAAUCGGAAUUACUGGGCGUAAAGCGUGCGUAGACGGUUAUUUAAGUCAGGUGUGAAAGCCCCGGGCUCAACCUGGGAAUUGCAUUUGAGACUGAAUAGCUAGGGUGCGGAAGAGGGAAGCGGAAUUUCCGGUGUAGCGGUGAAAUGCGUAGAUAUCGGAAGGAACACCAGUGGCGAAAGCGGCUUUUUGGGCCGUUCCUGACGCUGAGGCGCGAAAGCCAGGGGAGCGAACGGG
rnacentral:rRNA from 1 species